rnacentral:lncRNA from 1 species
CGCCUGCCUCGGCCUCCCAAAGUGCUGGGAUUACAGGCGUGAGCCACCGCGCCCGGCCGCAAAGGCCCUAUUUCUAAAUAAAGUCCCAUUCACAAGUUUCAGGGGCCAGGAUGUGAACAGAUCUUCCAGGAGACACCAAGCAGCCUCAGUGUCCAUUGAUGGAUCCGGGCCCUCCCUUCAAGCCUUUUCCCAUCCCCCCUCCACCUCCUGCACCGAGACCCCAGCAUGAAGCUUCCUCGGGCCUCACCGACCUCUGCUAAGUCCAGGAGACGCUGUGAGCACCCGAGGCGGGGACAGGGCCACACGUCACUCCACACAGACCACCCCUCCCGAUGCUGGAGCCCACAGCGGGAAAGUCGCCUCCCCACGGGUCUGAACGGAAAACUGGGGAGCCCUGGACACAGAUUCACCCUCUCCUCACGCCCAAUCUGCCCUCCAACGCCAGUGGUAUGGGGGUGAGACGGCCGUCUGCAGGACCAUGCGAACAGGGACAGGGACAGGGACCACCUGCGGAAAGCCUCCCUCACAUGGGCGAGCCCCCGUGUGCAGCUGCCAUGCUGCCU